UUAUCUGCGCAUCCUACCUCUAUCGCCCGCACUCCCCGACACACAAGGAGUAUAGGAAUCUAUUAAAAAAGAGAUUUAUUGUGCCAGUUCCCGCCUUGUUGGUACCCUUUUUCGUGUUGGCUAAGCAAAAAGGAGUCAGUGAAAAGAGAAUUGGACCACAGAAAUCAAGACAAAUAAUCUCAAGGACUCUACAUCUUGCCCAGCAUGGUAUAGAAUGGUAUUUGAGACACUAGACUAGAGAAAUGAUGUUAGACACAAAGCAAAUUUGAGUAAUUUUUUAAUUUGAGUUCAAAAUGGGUCAUAAAGCAGUGGAGACAACUUACAACAUCAACAAUGCAUUUGACCCAGCAACUGCUAAUGCAGUGAUGGUUCAAGAAGUUUUGCAAAGGAGAUGGGAGCCUUGAAGGUGAGGAGUGCAGUGGCCGACCAUUGGAAGUUGACAACGACCAAUUGAGAGCCAUCAUCAAAGCUGAUCCCCUUACAGCUACACAAGAAGUUGCCGAAGAACUCGACAUUGACCAUUCUAUGGUUGUUGAGCAUUUGAAGCAGAUUGAAAAGGUGAAAAAAGCUCGGUAAGGGGAUGCCUUGUGAGAUGACCACAAAUCAAAAGAAACGUCAUUUUGGAGUAUCAUCUUCUCUUAUUCUACAAAACAACAAGCCAUUUUUCAGAUUGUGACGUGUGAUGAAAAGCGGAUUUUAGACAACAACCAGCUAUGACCAGUUCAAUGGUUAGACCUUGAAGAAGCCCCAAAGCACUUCCCAAAGCCAAACUUGCACCCAAAAAAAGGUCAGGGUCACUGUUUUGUGGUCUGCUGCCCAUCUGAUCCACUACAGCUUUCUGAAUCCCAGUGAAACCAUUUCAUCUGAGAAGGAUGUUCAGCAAAUCUAUGAGAUGCAUGGAAAACUGCAAUGCCUGUAGCCAACAUUGGUCAACAGAAAGGGCCCAAUUCUUCUCCAUGAUAAUGCCUGACCAUACAUCUCACAACCAGUGCUUCAAAAGUUGAAUGAAUUGGGCUACGAAGUUUUGUGUCAUCCACCGUAUUCACCUGACCUCUCACCAACUGAUUACCACUUCUUCAAGCAUCUUGACAACUCUUUGCAGGGAAGACGCUUCCACAACCAGCAGGAUGCUGCAAAUGCUUUCCUAGAGUUGGCGAAUAGUAAAGUACAAGAAUAAACAAACUUAUUUCUCAUUGGCAAAA